rnacentral:rRNA from 1 species
GACGAACGCUGGCGGCGUGCCUAAUACAUGCAAGUAGAACGCUGAAGAGAGGAGCUUACUCUUCUUGGAUGAGUUGCGAACGGGUGAGUAACGCGUAGGUAACCUGCCUUGUAGCGGGGGAUAACUAUUGGAAACGAUAGCUAAUACCGCAUAACAAUGGAUGACACAUGUCAUUUAUUUGAAAGGGGCAAUUGCUCCACUACAAGAUGGACCUGCGUUGUAUUAGCUAGUAGGUGAGGUAAUGGCUCACCUGGGCGACGAUACAUAGCCGACCUGAGAGGGUGAUCGGCCACACUGGGACUGAGACACGGCCCAGACUCCUACGGGAGGCAGCAGUAGGGAAUCUUCGGCAAUGGGGGCAACCCUGACCGAGCAACGCCGCGUGAGUGAAGAAGGUUUUCGGAUCGUAAAGCUCUGUUGUAAGUCAAGAACGGGUGUGAGAGUGGAAAGUUCACACUGUGACGGUAGCUUACCAGAAAGGGACGGCUAACUACGUG